rnacentral:rRNA from 1 species
GACAGAGGGUGCAAACGUUGUUCGGAAUUACUGGGCGUAAAGCGAGUGUAUGCGGUCUUGUAAGUCGGGUGUGAAAGCCCCGGGCUCAACCCGGGAAGUGCACUCGAAACUGCGAGGCUAGAGUAUCGGAGAGGUUGGUGGAAUUCUCGGUGUAGAGGUGAAAUUCGUAGAUAUCGAGAGGAACACCGGUGGCGAAGGCGGCCAACUGGACGAAUACUGACGCUGAGACUCGAAAGCGUGGGGAGCAAACAGG